rnacentral:rRNA from 1 species
GACGAACGCUGGUGGCGUGCUUAACACAUGCAAGUCGAACGGGAUUUAGUGAACAGAAGCCUCGGUGGAAGAUUACUAAUGAGAGUGGCGAACGGGUGAGUAACGCGUGAGCAACCUGCCUAUGACAGUGGGAUAGCCUCGGGAAACCGGGAUUAAUACCGCAUAAAAUCGUAGAAACACAUGUUUUAACGGUCAAAGAUUUAUCGGUCAUAGAUGGGCUCGCGUCUGAUUAGCUAGUUGGUGAGAUAACAGCCCACCAAGGCGACGAUCAGUAGCCGGUCUGAGAGGAUGAACGGCCACAUUGGAACUGAGACACGGUCCAAACUCCUACGGGAGGCAGCAGUGGGGAAUAUUGCACAAUGGGGGAAACCCUGAUGCAGCGACGCCGCGUGAACGAAGAAGGUAUUCGUAUCGUAAAGUUCUGUCCUAUGGGAAGAUAAUGACAGUACCAUAGAAGAAAGCUCCGGCUAAAUACGUG